UACGUAGGGUGCGAGCGUUAAUCGGAAUUACUGGGCGUAAAGCGUGCGCAGGCGGUUUUGUAAGCCAGAUGUGAAAUCCCCGGGCUCAACCUGGGAACUGCAUUUGUGACUGCAUCGCUGGAGUGCGGCAGAGGGGGAUGGAAUUCCGCGUGUAGCAGUGAAAUGCGUAGAUAUGCGGAGGAACACCGAUGGCGAAGGCAAUCCCCUGGGCCUGCACUGGACGCUCAUGCACGAAGCGUGGGGAGCAAACAGG
rnacentral:rRNA from 1 species